rnacentral:lncRNA from 1 species
AUAUACAUAGUAUGUCCUUAUUAUCUACAAAAUUUCAUGAAAUUCUGUUGUGUGUUUUCAGAGGAGUUGAGAUGACAAACUGUUGCAGAAGUACAUUGAAGCAAAUAAGUUCAAAGGGGCAUAACUCCUAGAAAAAAAAUUGAAUCGCAAUUUCCCGUCGAUAUGCACAACUACAUAGUAUGUCCUUAUUAUCUGAAAAGGUUUCGUGAAAUUCUGUUGUGUGGUUUGAGAGGAGUUGCGAUGACAAACUGUUGCAGUAAUACAUUAAAGUAAAUAAGUUCAAAGGGGCGUAACUCCUAGAAAAAAAAUUGAAUCACAAUUUCCCGUCGAUAUGCACAACUUCAUAGUAUGUCCUUAUUAUCUGAAAAGGUUUAGUGAAAUUCUGUUGUGUGGUUUGAGAGGAGUUGCGAUGACAAACUGUUGCAGUAAUACAUUAAAGUAAAUAAGUUCAAAGGGGCGUAACUCCUAGAAAAAAAAUUGAAUCGCAAUUUCCCGUCGAUAUGCACAACUACAUAGUAUGUCCUUAUUAUCUGAAAAGGUUUUGUGAAAUUCUGUUGUGUGGUUUGAGAAGAGUUGCGAUGACAAGAAACAGGACUGACGGACUGACGGACGGAUGGACGGACGGACGGGUCAAAAACAUUAUACCCUCCGCAACUUCGUUGCGUGGGGUAUAAUUAUGAUA